rnacentral:rRNA from 1 species
AUGAUAGGCUUGAGCUGGAACUGCCGAGGAAUCGGGGGCGCCUCGACGGUUCGUGAUCUCACUGCCCUCGUCCAAAGUCAUCGUCCGCAAUUUGUUUUUUUGUGUGAAACUAGGCAGAAGUCAAAUAAAGUCCGUCAUCUACGCCAUCGUUUGGGUCUUCGUGGUUUCAGUGGAGUCGAUAGCAAUGGUCAAAGCGGUGGUCUAGCUUUGUUUUGGAAUGAUCAGUUGUCAGUUGAGAUCAGAGAUCAG